rnacentral:lncRNA from 1 species
AAAGAGAAGAAAGGUCACCUUAUAUAAGCCUCCAACUGAAAUUACCAAAUUACUCUUCAAAAACUACAUUCUGCAGCACUGCAUACUGGUACUCCGGUUGGCGUACUGGUACUCGGGCAUCCAGUUUCUGUACCAAGUUUCCAGUACCUCAAAACCCAAACAUUGGAUUCUCAAUUUUUCUACUGCGUACCGAUACUCAGUUUCCAGUACCGGUACUCAAUACAAACUCAGUAUUGGUACUCAGAUUUGAUUCAUCAAAAUUUGUGAGCUCAUUUUCCUCAUUUUGUAUUGCGUACGGGUACCCAGUUUUCAGUACCGGUACUCAAUACAAAUUCUGUCACUCUGACAGAUUUUACCUUUCGGAGUUCGUUUUCGCACCCGGUU